AGGAAUAUUGGUCAAUGGACGAGAGUCUGAACCAGCCAAGUAGCGUGAAGGAUGAAGGUCCUACGGAUUGUAAACUUCUUUUAUAAGGGAAUAAACCCUCCCACGUGUGGGAGCUUGUAUGUACCUUAUGAAUAAGCAUCGGCUAACUCCGUGCCAGCAGCCGCGGUAAUACGGAGGAUGCGAGCGUUAUCCGGAUUUAUUGGGUUUAAAGGGAGCGCAGACGGGUCGUUAAGUCAGCUGUGAAAGUUUGGGGCUCAACCUUAAAAUUGCAGUUGAUACUGGCGUCCUUGAGUGCGGUUGAGGUGUGCGGAAUUCGUGGUGUAGCGGUGAAAUGCUUAGAUAUCACGAAGAACUCCGAUUGCGAAGGCAGCGCACUAAUCCGUAACUGACGUUCAUGCUCGAAAGUGUGGGUAUCAAACAGGAUUAGAUACCCUGGUAGUCCACACGGUAAACGAUGGAUACUCGCUGUUGGCGAUAUACUGUCAGCGGCUUAGCGAAAGCGUUAAGUAUCCCACCUGGGGAGUACGCCGGCAACGGUGAAACUCAAAGGAAUUGACGGGGGCCCGCACAAGCGGAGGAACAUGUGGUUUAAUUCGAUGAUACGCGAGGAACCCUACCCGGGCUUAAAUUGCAAAGGAAUAAUCUGGAAACAGAUUAGUCUUCGGACCUUUGUGAAGGUGCUGCAUGGUUGUCGUCAGCUCGUGCCGUGAGGUGUCGGCUUAAGUGCCAUAACGAGCGCAACCCUCGCCGCCAGUUACUAGCAGGUAAUGCUGAGGACUCUGGCGGGACUGCCAUCGUAAGAUGUGAGGAAGGUGGGGAUGACGUCAAAUCAGCACGGCCCUUACGUCCGGGGCUACACACGUGUUACAAUGGGCGGUACAGAAGGCAGCUACCUGGCGACAGGAUGCCAAUCCCUAAAGCCGCUCUCAGUUCGGACUGGAGUCUGCAACCCGACUCCACGAAGCUGGAUUCGCUAGUAAUCGCGCAUCAGCCACGGCGCGGUGAAUACGUUCCCG
rnacentral:rRNA from 1 species